UACGGAGGGGGCAAGCGUUAUUCGGAAUUAUUGGGCGUAAAGGGCGCGUAGGCGGCUAGAUGUGUCAAAGGUGAAAUCCCUCGGCUCAACUGAGGAACUGCCUUUGAAACUGUCUGGCUUGAGGCCGGGAGAGGGUAGCGGAAUUCCCAGUGUAGCGGUGAAAUGCGUAGAUAUUGGGAAGAACACCGGUGGCGAAAGCGCCUUGCUGGGUCUGCACUGACACUGAGGGACGAAAGCUAGGGGAGCGAAAGGG
rnacentral:rRNA from 1 species